rnacentral:rRNA from 1 species
UACGGAGGGUGCAAGCGUUAUCCGGAAUCACUGGGUUUAAAGGGUGCGUAGGCGGCUAUUUAAGUCAGAGGUGAAAGGCCACGGCUCAACUGUGGGACUGCCUUUGAAACUAUUUAGCUUGAAUUAGGUUGAGGUCAGCGGAAUGUGACAUGUAGCGGUGAAAUGCAUAGAUAUGUCAUAGAACACCAAUUGCGAAGGCAGCUGGCUAGGCCUAUAUUGACGCUGAGGCACGAAAGCGUGGGGAGCGAACAGG